rnacentral:rRNA from 1 species
UACGUAGGGUGCAAGCGUUAAUCGGAAUUACUGGGCGUAAAGCGUGCGCAGGCGGUUCUAUAAGACAGAUGUGAAAUCCCCGGGCUCAACCUGGGAACUGCAUUUGUGACUGUAGAGCUGGAGUACGGCAGAGGGGGAUGGAAUUCCGCGUGUAGCAGUGAAAUGCGUAGAGAUGUGGAGGAAUACCGAUGGCGAAGGCAGCCCCCUGGGAUAACACUGACGCUCAUGCACGAAAGCGUGGGGAGCAAACAGG